AAAUUAAAAUAAUACCGUUAAUCUAUCUAGUCUCAAAAAAAAAUUAGCAAUAAUUUUUCUCAGAAAUAUCACUGUGUGUAUUUUUUAAGAUUUAAAAGAAGAAAAAAUCGUAAACAAAUUCUGGGCACCACAGUGCUUAGUUUUUAAUUUUCCCCAAAAAAUAUCACCCAACUUAAGGAAUUAAAUAUAAAACAAAGUGAUACUGUAUUGAACCAUCCAAAACUAAAGUUCGGUGCAUGAGUCCAGUGAAACUAACAAUUUUUUUUUGGGAGUAAAAGAAGCCAGAGUCAAGGAUUAAACGAACUUCAUUCUUUUCGGAGCGAAUUCAUGAAUCUUUGGGGAUCAUUAAAGUUUCUUGUUUCAACUUAAUUUGUUUGGAUUAGCCGCCGUUUCAUAUGACCAAAAGGCGAAUUUUCUGGGAUAUCGUGUGAAACUUUUGGUUCAUUUGGCUUAAAAAAAAAAAAA
rnacentral:sRNA from 1 species